AUAACUUUAAAAAGCAACCAACAGAGAGCUUUUCAGUUUUUCACUUUUCCGUCAUUGGAAACCAAAAGAGAAACCUCCUUAACCUGCCAAUAUCCUCUAGUCUCCUCAUUAGUCAAAUCUCAACAAAAAUUUCACCAUUCCAUCUCUUCCAUUGAUCAAAUACUGCCUCUGAUCACAUAUAAUCCGAUUUUUCGAGCAGACAAACACGAGACAUGAAAUCAAUGAAGGGAAG
rnacentral:misc_RNA from 1 species